rnacentral:rRNA from 1 species
AGAGUUUGAUACUGGCUCAGGAUGAACGCUAGCUACAGGCUAACACAUGCAAGUCGAGGGGCAGCAUUGGAGUAGCAAUACUUCAGAUGGCGACCGGCGCACGGGUGAGUAACACGUAUCCAACCUGCCGCUUACUCGGGGAUAGCCUUUCGAAAGAAAGAUUAAUACCCGAUGGUAUAAAGAGUUCGCAUGUUCUCUUUAUUAAAGAAUUUCGGUAAGCGAUGGGGAUGCGUUCCAUUAGAUAGUUGGCGGGGUAACGGCCCACCAAGUCUACGAUGGAUAGGGGUUCUGAGAGGAAGGUCCCCCACAUUGGAACUGAGACACGGUCCAAACUCCUACGGGAGGCAGCAGUGAGGAAUAUUGGUCAAUGGACGAGAGUCUGAACCAGCCAAGUAGCGUGAAGGAUGACUGCCCUAUGGGUUGUAAACUUCUUUUAUAAGGGAAUAAAGUGAGGGACGUGUCCCUUUUUGUAUGUACCUUAUGAAUAAGGAUCGGCUAACUCCGUGCCAGCAGCUGC